CCUACGGGUGGCAGCAGUGGGGAAUAUUGCACAAUGGGGGAAACCCUGAUGCAGCGACGCCGCGUGAGCGAUGAAGUAUCUAGGUAUGUAAAGCUCUAUCAGCAGGGAAGAAAAUGACGGUACGUGAAUACGACGCCCCGGCUAACUACGUUCCAGCAGCAGCGGUAAUACGUAGGGGGCAAGCGUUAUCCGGAUUUACUGGGUGUAAAGGGAGCGUAGACGGACCUGCAAGCCAGAUGUGAAAGCCCGGGGCUCAACCCCGGAACUGCAUUUGGAACUGUAAGGCUAGAGUGUCGGAGAGGCAGGCGGAAUGCCUAGUGUAGCGGUGAAAUGCGUAGAUAUUAGGAGGAACACCAGUGGCGAAGGCGGCCUGCUGGACGAUGACUGACGUUGAGGCUCGAAAGCGUGGGGAGCAAACAGGAUUAGAUACCCGUGUAGUC
rnacentral:rRNA from 1 species